UACCAGCACCCCGAGCGGUCGGCGCGAUUAUUGGGCCUAAAGCAUCCGUAGCCGGUUUUACAAGUCCUCCGUUAAAUCCAGCUGCUUAACAGAUGGGCUGCGGAGGAUGCUAUAAGACUAGGAGGCAGGAGAGGCAAGCGGUACUCAGUGGGUAGGGGUAAAAUCCGUUGAUCCAUUGAAGACCACCAGUGGCGAAGGCGGCUUGCCAGAAUGCGCUCGACGGUGAGGGAUGAAAGCUGGGGGAGCAAACCGG
rnacentral:rRNA from 1 species